AAAGUAAACAAGCUCCAGACCCUCAUAGGUACUUUGAUGCCUGACUCUAGAUGGUCUCAAGGUCAUACAGACUCUCUGCAUAUUUCUAAGGCUUGAGGCUAAUGUGAUUUUUGUGCCUGGACACAAACUGUGUUGCAGGCAGAGAUGGGAUCUAUGUGUACCAGGCUGGUGGCUUAGCUGCUGGACCAGUCUGCCUUUCCUAAUCUUUUGUUCAGAUCUCUGCUUUCAACCUGUCUGUUCUGAACGAUGAAAACCACUGUGGUUUUAUGCUGAAGCACUGCCUCGAAGCUUGAAAAGGCUGCUUGGGUAUGGGAGGUCUGCUCUGUUGAACUUCUCCCUUGUGGGAACAUAAAGCCCGAGUUACAGCGUGAGGAAACCAAUAUAGCUGGGAGCCCAGGGAUGAAAGCUUUAAACCUGGAGGGUGCCUGGUACUUCCUGAGAACCUCACAGGGAAAACGUUCAGUCCCCAAACAGCCUCGCUGACAGAUAUGUUUUUAUAGCCUAUUAUUUUCUCUCUUCGUUCUUUGUUUCAUUUGAAUAUAAUAGGCUCUUUAUUUUUAACUGCUCGUCUGUUCCUGCUGUUUAUAUCCUCACCCCAAAAUCAUAAUUCUCUGGUUAUUUUCUUUUUUCCUUUUUUGACAUCACGGUUGGUUACUGUCUAACUGUACUACAAUGCCUGUAUAGAAGGGACAUGGUUUAUUUUCUUACAUUUUCCAUUUUCCUCUCUGUCUUUUCAAUAGAAUCCCAUAUUUCAAUUUGAACCAGAGGGUUGUUGCCUUAUUUAUAGGUCUUGAAUUUUGGCAGUGAUGUAAGUGUCUUAUGUGGUUGUAUGACUUCACGAGAGAAAAAGCUGGAGCUGCAGAUGAAUACGUAAAAAUGUUAUUUUCCUGUUCAUUUCUCUAAUGUGUGAGAUGGAGAAAAGACUUGAGGCCCAUGAUAGUGAAGUUCCUUUAUUUCAAUAUCAUCUGUUUAUUCAUUUAGAUAGAAUGGAUGCAGAAGUUUCUAGCAUGUUAGUCUUUAAUUUGGACAAAUAUGCAACGUAGGGUACUUGUUUUCAUCUUACACUGGCAUUCAUCUUAUAAAACUCACUUCAGGGUACUAUUUGUGAGAGGCAGCCACCCCCCUCCCCCCCCCCCCCCCCCCCCCCCCUUGCUGCCCCUGCACAACCCCAUGUCCUCCAGCCCUUGGGGGUGAAACAGUGGUGCUUGCCCAACUGCCCUGCAUGUACAAGCGGCUCUGCACACUGCCAGGUCAGCAUGACACGAAUGCACCACCUCUGAUACUUUGCAGCAGACCUUGUUAUGAGUUCCUGCCCACUGGCAGCAUAGCAGGCUGGAGAGCCAGAGCCAGGCUUCGCUCUCCAUGCUGCCUCUGCCUCCGAGUGACUUUUGGGCAAGUCUGUAAACCCGGUGCUUGCUUUACCCUUCUUUAAGUUAGCAUCUGCAGUGCCUGCCUCCAAGAGUGUCUGAGAAUAGAACUGGUGGGAAAAAUGAUUUUUGUCCCAGAAAACCCGUUAUACAUAUCUGCCUAUAAUUAUUUAGCAUAGAACAUUACUUAUUUACUGACAUGUACAGCGUUAAUUUAGCCUCCAAUUUAAUCAUAAUGAAAACCCAAAUAAUUAAAAUCUUCAUUAGAGUGUUUCCUCAUCUCCAGGUCUGUCAAGGAUCAGUCAUAAUGCAUCUUACUGAGAUAGUUAACUGCUUCAGUUGGGGUUUCGCUAUUCUGUGGAAAAAGUAUACUAUUUUACUGAAAUGGGAUUUGCUGCUCAAAGCUGUUUCAGGAAUACCUUUCUGCUGCAUAACUUAAUGAAGUACGUGGAAAUGAUUUUAAGCUGCUUGCAAAAGAACAGCCGAGGAUCUAUGACCUAAUAAUUAUUAAUUAUAAUGCAAUUAAUAAUUAUUAUUAUGAUUACUUAACUCUUUUAAGUACAUAUGUUCUUUUUAUGUGCUUUCUUUCUUGCACAUUGAUCACCUUAAUUAUGGUAUGUCUGUUUGCGUGUACUUAGCACCUAUUAAAAUGAAACCUGAAGUGCAUUCUCAAACAAAUUAGGAACUGCUUUGUAUGUUUUGAGGCCAUCUCAGUGGGAAUGGACUAGUUUUUCAUCUCCCUUUGCUGACAUAGUUUGGACUUUGCAUUAUAUCAUUUUCCCAGACCUUUGACAGAAAAUGCUCCCUCUGUUCUCAGUAUUUUGACCAUUACUGGUAAUUGUCUAAUGAUUAACUCUUAGGGCAAUGAGGAAGCAAGCAUAUGCCAUCAUCCUGAAAUGCUGAAUUCUCCCAGCUCCUGAAAGAGAUAAACCUUUAGAAGUUUGUAGGACAAUGCAUUUUGUAGCUGGAUCAUGUAAUUUCAUUUUCAUGCUUCAGUCACUUUUCACAGCUACCUGGGCAACUAGAGAAUUCAAAAAUCCCCAUUGUGUAGACGUCUGCUUGCAAGUCCCCACAGGAAACAUCUGCAGUACUGAAUUAAUUACAGAUAAUAUUUUAUGAUCUAAAUAAUAACUUGAAAGAAUAUAAAAUCACCUAUGGAAUGGGACUCAAAAAUCCAUUGAGAUGAAGCCUAAAUUUGAACUGCGCUUUGCUGAAGCCCUAUUUUGCACACAAGAUACUGUCUACACAAGAAAGAUGAGUCUAGUUUUGUGCUAUUUUUCUCUUCCCCAGCAGUAAUGGGGUCACUUGAGGCAGUUGCUGCCAGUGCUUACCCAGAUGAGCAGUGCAGCUAUUGUGUCCCUUCCUACAUCAGCGUGUUUGGCAGUGUCCCUGUAGAAAUGGACCAAAUCUGACGAGCUGUGCAGCCUGGACCUGCUGGUAGAAUUGAAACUCUGAUGUGUUGUGCAGUUCUUUCUCUCCCUCAGAUAAGGCAGGAGCUUUCCUACCUCUGUCUACACUGCUAUCUCCUGGGCAGUUUUUCCAUUCUGCUUCAGCUGCUUUCCUCAGCACAGCCUACUAUGGGUAGGUCGCAAAACUUUCCCUUUUGCUCUUAGAUUGAGAUCUGCGUUACUGGGGAAAGACAGCUGAGGCUUUGGGAUUCAGGAGACCUGAGUAGGUGUUGUUUUUUCUUGUCUGAGUUCUUCAUUCUUCCUCACUGAACUGAGCUAUAAAGAGAAGUGAUAACAUUUGGCUGCCUUGCUGGUUCAUGUGUUGGUGUUUAUAGCAGGUUUUGAGAGUGUCCUUAGAAAGUAAAGUGCUAUUGGUGGUGGUAAUGUAAUACUAUAGUUGUGUCUGAAUUUUGCAUCAUUUAAACACAAGUCUUUAAGUUUUCUAUACCUCAGAAAUUGAAUCACUGCUAAUAUCAUAACUAGAACUUGUCGUACACCAGUUACAUACCUAUUAUUUGUGCCUUAGGCUAAAGGACAACAAAAGAAAACCAGUGGAUAAAGGUUCCGAAUCAGAACUGAUGUUGCCCAGCUUAAUGUUCACAUUAACACAAAAACAACAACAGAACUGCAGAGCUAACAACUCCACUGAAAGAUGGAGUCGCCUGAGGAAGACAGCAGUGGCAACAGUGAGGAAAAGAAAUCUGGGACAUCCGUGCUUUGGGCAUCCAGUAAGGAUGAGGAAGCAGCACAGGUACCUCAUACUCAGAUAUAUCCAUCACAACUUCCAGUUUGGUCCCAAGGAAGAUCUUCUAGAUUUCUAGAUGAUUGAAAAUUGAUAUUAAACAUGCUGCUAAUCAUGCAUCUGAUCCACAGAAAGCAUCACGUACAAUAGAGGAAAUAUUCAAACUUCCUUGUUCUUUUUGCUCUGUUCGGACUUUAAGCAUCCAUUACUGUUAUAUCUCAGAAGAAAUGCUUCCCUUCAGGACUUCCUCCUUAUUUAUUAGACUGUCUUGAGGGAGAAAAAUGUGAAUGAGGUUGGAAUUGUUGGGAGUUCUCUUGCUGCUAUGGGAGAGGUGUGGUGAUGCCGUGAUUCUUGAAACAUCACGUCUGCUACUUCCAGUGGCCGAGGCCGCAUUCCAAACGUGCAGAGGUACAGAUCCCUUUUCUGAGGUACGCAGCUCUGAAAUUAAGUUUAUCUCUCUGCCUUUCCUUUACUGGCAUUUUUACUCAAUUUUAGGCAUUAGUUGCCUUCAUGCAUCUUUUUGUCAUUACAGUUACUAAAAAACGCAACUGGUUUGGGUUAUCCACCUAAAUACCUUAACAGACAUCCUGUGAUACUUGCCCUUCUCCUUCUUCUGUGAAGCCAGGCUAUGAUUAAUGAGAAGUUGCAAGAGGUUUUUUAAAAUGUGCUAAUAUUUUCUUCAGAGAACUCUUCUCCUUCUCAGUACACGCAACCUGUACAACUUCCUCAUUCUUUUGUUUCUUUAGAUAUUCUUUAAAAUAGAAAAUAACUUUUCUCCUGUCUUGGACUUUGAAUUCUUUGGAACAAAAUCAAGAUAGUUUGUCUGCAUUUAGCUGGUUGUGCCAUGGAUGAUUAAAAAAGAUUUGAUUUUUUUUGUCUAGUUUUUUAGAUCAGCAGCUUCAUUUUGAUUUCCAGUCUACAGCAGUAUCACACAAUUGUAAGGUCGCAGCCCAGUCUGACCCUAUCAUAAGAGAAACUGUAAUUACAUUGGGUUUAGUGGUGUUUUAUAAAUCAUAGUGAUUCGUAUAAAAUAAACCUGAAAUUAGGGUCUAUGAGUGCAGCUAUUAACUCUCCUGAGUUCUGCAGAAACAGAGAAGACAGAAAAUCACAACGUAAUGAUUCAGUCACUGAUUCCAAAGCCAUGACCGAACAUGAUCACACACAUACAUGCCUAUAUAUAUGGCACAUAUAGGCGCAUUUGUGCUAUUCUGUACGUGUUCUAUGUCCUGUAUUAAUAUGCAUGCUGUAUAUUGCACAUCUAUAUACAUACCUAUUUAACAUACAAUAGAAAUUAGACACAAAAAUGCUUUGCAUUGUUAAGGGGCUACGCAGGGCAAAAAGUGGUAUUAGUGGCUAAUAAAGGCUAAUUCUUUUGCAAGCAAAAUUAGCUCGCUUCACUAGCUUGUUAUGACUUGAAGUGUCUGGCCAUUGAACUAUGCAUAUGGCUCAUUUGUUGAUCUCAAAGAGAUCGCACCCUGACUGACAGCUGUAGUGGACUGGAAGAAAAUAGCCCAAAUGAGUAAGAACAGGAGGACUUCAGUUUGUGUGACUUUGGGACAGUAGCAAUCCAUGCAAACAGCCUUAAUAAGCAGAAGAGAAGAACCUGACAAAGAAUGUGUGUGAUGUGGAUCCUGGCUCAGGGCAGUAAUUUUUCUUAAAUGACUGGUUCCUAACGCUCAGCUUUGUUGCCCACAGAUGCUGCCUCCCAGUAUACACAACUACUAAAGAGAACAAAUGUCCAGUAGCAGAUUACAACAAUCCUAAAUAAUCUCAAGGGGACUGAUUUUGAGCAAGUCCCAGAAGUUCUUGUGGUACUCUGUAGUGAUUCAAGCUUCACCAGAGUAGCCUAAACUCUGUGGCUGUGUAUUUAUUUUUAACUUGUGUUGUUUUGGGGUAAACACCACAUCAGAGUGCUUUUAUUAUCAAGUUCCUGUUCCUACACAAUGCAUCUGUAUGGAUUCUAGACCCCUUCAUCAAAAAGGAUCAUUUCCUUUUUUUUCUUAAUCUCAGACUGGUUUAUCCAGAGCUGUUGUCUCUGACUUCCUGUAACCUGCCCUGCAUCAAAGAUCUUUUAGAGUCUUCUCUGCAUCCUUUCUUUCCUUAGCACAUACUUGGAAAUGUCUGUGUAUACACAAACUCAUUUGCGUGUCCGUGCAUAUUUUAAUCCAUUUCUGCUUAAAGUCCUGCAGCAUUCUGCCUGGUCAGAUCAACCAAGGGCUCACGGGAAAGGUUAGUGCUAGGGAGCAGCAAAGCCCGUGUUCCUUGUGUACUCUGAGUGCUUCAGAAAGGUUUUAAUGCCUUCUUUAUUUGUGCAAAAAUUGUUCAAACUUCCCAGCUCUGAUAAUACCACACAGACAAAUGUUCAUUAUGAUCAGGACUGAUUACUUUUUCACCAUGGUAUUGUUUUUGCAGGUGAUUUGAGACUUGGUGUUAAUACAGGUCAUUGAGAGGGAAAGGUUGGUGAUGCUGCCUUUUGUGCUGUUAAACCCUCAGAUGUUGUUCCUAGAUUACAAGUUUAUAGAGACCAUAUGGAAAUAUUGGUUUAUCUUCUUAAGUAAAUUCUAGGUCUCAAACUUCUCUUCAUUAUCAAACAUUACUUGAAGUAAAAGGAGACUUUGGAGUAAUGAAUGAGUUUGGCUUCUGCAGUGUACCUAGGACACUUCUUUAUUUGGACCACAGACUCUUGUGAAGUGCUGCCACUGACAUUCUGGCAGAGGCUGGAACAAGAAAAGGAACUCAUCAGCCCCCACUGAGAAUUAUAGAAGAGAGAUCUUGUGGCAACCCAUUUGGUAGAAACAAGAACUGGAGCUAAUGGAUCCUGAAGAAAACAAGACAAGCAGUAAAGCAUUUGCUGAGAUAAGUUUCUAUCCAGCUUACAAUAGAAGUUGGUGCUGCAAAACCCCACUUGUUUACAGUUACAGUGGCAGAAGUACAUCAACGCUGUGACCAUGCUGAGGCUGCAGAUGGCAAUCACAUCUGCUUUGCUAUCAAGUAUGGAAGAUUAGUUACUGGUUAACCGAAAAAGCUAGUAGAGAACUUUUGACUAGUAGCUACAUUUUGACCUAUCUAAGAAGUCAGAAUAGUCUGUUUCUUGAUGGAUCAGGAGUCAAAGAAAUAGUAAAAUAACGUAGGUUGCUGCCUGUUCCUGUUGCUGUUCCUGUUAACUUUUACUCUUUAUCCUUUCCCUCGAUUCAUGUCUUAAUUUUGAGUCCAGUGUGGAGUGUUGUAGAUUUCAAUCCCUUUAAUCUUUUUCUUGUUACGGACUAUACUGAAGCCAGUGUUAUGUUGAUGGUCUAUGGGCUGGUCUGGCCUGGUUCCGUGACUAGUGGGGUGGAGGGAUUUUUUGCAAAAUCCGCGCCUCCGGAAAAGGGAAACGGGAGCCCUCACAUGAAAGAAUAAUUAAAGAAAAACAGCGGCAAUGAUCUGAGGAGAAACAAACUAAUUGACUAAAUAGAGUAUCGGAAUGCAUGAUAACACACUAUAAUACAAUAUAAAUCAAUAUAAUUGUUAAUAAAAUCAAAUAUAAUUGAGAGAAGGAUUGUCCAAGAGUUAAAGGCCUUACACUAAUACUGAAGCCUUGCGUACAGCAGCAAGACAAUCUGAAAGCGAGCACAACGAGACAAGAAGAUGGCAGAGGACCCAGGUCAGGUGACCUACAGGCCUUAUAUCUGUUCCCCUGAGCAGGAAUGAUAACAGUACUCGAACAGUCUUCUGGGGAGCGUAUUUCUUCUUCUGUUCCGGACAAGUACCUGGAAGUAGAGCAUUUGCUCUUUAACUCCCAGUACACUGCAUGAUGUUAUGAUGUGGAAUACCGAUAACCAAAAAUCAUAAAACCAUGACAUGUUACUACCUUUCCCUCUCCUUUUCCUGCUUGAAGAAAUUCAGCUCUAUACAAAUCUUCUUGAUUUAGUUUUGUUAUUACAGCUAUAUUUCACUCUUUUCGGUUCUUCCUCAGUACCUCCUUAUCAAAGGCCAUGUUCAGACCUUUCUUUCUUGUACAGUAUCCCUGCUUUGUCCUGCUGUAAAUCUACAUCUGAACUGUUUGUCACCAGCUUUUCUGUCUUUGGUAUGGGAAGCUGUUUUGGUAUAAUGAAAGCAAACAACCCCCAGACAACAAACCACUGUGCUACGGAAACAGCCAGCAGUGGUGUAGUUGCCUCAGAGCUGAGCUGAUAAAGCCAACAGUGCUGAAGCAUUCCUAGUUUUGUGCUUUGGACUCCUCUGAGCUGAUUUCCUGAUUUGUCCUAUCAGCAUUCGUUUGCUUUGUGCUUUGAGAGCAACUGCUCUGCUGGUGAGAGUUACAGCAACUAGAUCUCCAUUUUUCCCUAGCAUAGUCAAAGCAACAGUGAUGCCUGCCUUUCCCUGCAUUUCCUUGGCAAGCUUCCCAGAAAGAUGUGUACUUAAUUAUAAUUUGCUCUCUGUGGUCAGCAGCAAUAUCCCAGAUUUUAGUAUUUCAGCAGUAUCUCUAUAACUCUGUUUUUAAGUCUUCACCUGUUCUCCUACAGAACAAGGUUACAAUUGGGUUGAAUAUAUGCAACAUCAAUGAUUGCACUUACUGUACAUGCAGUUGAUUCCCCUUUCAUUUGUUGAUUCAUCUGUCUGUUUUGACUUAAAAAGAGAAAAAAAAAACACCAAAAAACUUCUACCACUUUCUUUUGGGAAAAUAGCAUCCCUUUCUGUGGAAAUCUUUCACUACUUCCUUCCUUGCACAUAGAAUGUGUCAUGUUAAAGCUGUUACUGAGUUUUAGGCAGAGAAGCAGUUGUCUGUCAAAUUGCUUCAAAAGAAACCACAAAAUGAGCAGGUCAUAAAUCCAGAAGCAGCACAAGAGUGGGAAUACGAGACCUGCAAUAUGUAAUGUGACUCUUUCAGUCCAACCUCCCCUAUUGCCACUCUGGUGCUAAAUAUACUGCUGGUGUCCUUGCAAGAAACCAAAUGCACUGAGCUGGGAAAGGCAGCGGGCAGCAUUAGUUUAGGGAUUGUUUCAUUUCUGUAUGUUUCCUUGAUAAUACGCUAAGAAGAGAGUAGCUAAAUUCUCCUAAUUAUGUAUUUGCAACUAUGCUGGGGAAGUUUCACAAAUAUCAGAUCAUCUUAAUCAAAUGUCUAAUUUUUAACCUAGCAUUUUAAUUUUUAAAGACAUUUUUGUUAAAAAUUGUCUUUUUAAAAAAAUCCAGGUACUUAUCUUACCCUCCAGGAACUCCUAUUUUAGAUUAAGAUAAGUGAAAUCUGCACUUGCAGUUCAUGAAUAAGUGUUGUAAGGUAGGAAGGUUAUUUCGAAGAGUUUAGCUUGCCUGUAGCAUUUGUAUUAGAUAAGUGAUAAGUCAACUCUAUGUUGUGUUGCGUUUUACACAGCAUGCAGAUAACCAACCCAGUGAGUCCUGGAAUGAACCUUUCCCCAAUGUUGGUGAGGUUUGAACUUUCUAACUUCGGGAGAUGUAAGGAAAAGAAAUAUUGAAAAACACAGAUUUAGAUUAACUUGAAAUUAAUUUAAAAAAUCCAUAUGAAUUCUUUUUGUAUGUAUAUAAAAAUACUAGGUGAACUUUGAAGCACAGUUAGCAGCUUUUCCAGAUUUCAUGUCUUUCACUCAUCACUAUUUUUUCUGUCUGGUUUAAUAAUUUUACUUUGUUGUCUCUAAGCUGAAUUUUUAGGAAAAUAUGUAAUUUUCAUGAUUUUCUAGUUUGUACCCUUAGCACUACUGAUGCAGAACAGGAAGGCCAUCCAGGGUUGUGAUCAGCACCUCUUUAGAAUCUGUCGCUUCCUCUGCACUGAUGACAGAGACUUGCUUUGAACUUUCACAUCUAACUCUCCCUUGCUUUGAACUUGGAACGAAUUCCCUCAAAUGCUUUGAUAUAGCUUUGCAGCACACUUUUCAUGAUCUCUCUCUCCCCCUCUCUCUUGCUAUUUAGCAAAUAGUCAAGUCUCUUUUUUCACCUUUUUUUUUUUUUUCUCACAGAAUUUUCUAGUUACUUCAUUAGUAAAUGAAGCAUUUAAUAGCUUCUAAAUAUUAAAUGUUGGAUAGAAGUUGCUUGUGAAAUUGGGUAGAUUUUAUUAAUGUGACUUAUUUUAGUGUUUUGAACAUAUGGUAAGUUUCACUAAGUAAUUGUAAUAGUUUUUAUAUCUUAUUUAUAAAAGACCUAUAGCCCCAUCCCAAUGCAUGUGGAUUCCUCAUGUCUCAAUCUGAUGCCAGUCCCAGGGCAAGGACCUGCAAGUGGUGCCAUGCUGUGGGUCACGGCUUGCAUGUGGAAGCACUCAUGUCAGGUUGUGCCUCAGUGUACCCCAUCCUCUCCAGGACCACAGUGUCGAGGGACAGUGAAAGGACCGUGGCGACCAGUGGAGCAUCCCUCUCCCUUGCCACUGCAGGGGACAAGUCUUUUGUUUAUGCAACCAGAGAGGCUCUAUGAAGUUUAAGUCAUUCAGCUUUUUUCUGAUUUUCCAUUCUAGGCCUUACAAUGAAAUUACUGCUGGACGAAUGCAGAGAAUCACCUCGUGAUUUUGAGUUGGAGUUUCUCCAUCUACAAAGUUGAGAGGUCAAUGAGAAGACUCCUGUACCGCAGAGAAGAGCAGGAUGGCAACAGUUCUAUCAGGACUUGAUCCUUCUUAAAUGUGAUGCAGAAGUAGGAGCAAGUGCUCUUCAGCCCAAGAGUAUGAGGAAGAAUUCAUAUUGUGGCCUUGCUCUGACAGCAUAGGGGCAGUGAUACGAUGAAGACAAGCAAAUUUUCCAUUGCUGUACACCAUGGAAAGUUCUAAUGAAGGAGAUUGGAGCUGGAGACCACAACGUGUUUGAAGUAAUUUUGAUGUCCCUUUUGCACAUUCCCAAGCUACUUCUGCAUUGCCAUGAUUUUCUUUGGCCUAAAAUUAGGUAGAAGAUGCUUGAUCAAACCAGUCAAACUCGGGCUUCCUGCUGUGAGUGUAACAGAUGAUAAGUAUAAACUUGAGUUCUCAUGAAUUUUCAGCCACGAGUCCAUCUGGGAAUAAUUUCGCUGUGAGAAGAAGGCUUCCAUUCUAUCAAGAAAAAAGGCUGCGUGGAAAUCACAGAAAGCUACAGAAGAAAGUUUCAGUCAUUGUUUAAAAGCAUUGUGGCCUGUGAAGAUGAAAACCAGAACGGGGAUUUGCCUCCAAAUUUUAUAAGCUUCUAGAAAGUAAAAUGAUGAGAAACAAAUGCAAAAAGUUCACAAAAGUACUAGUUACUUAAAAAAAAAUCUUACUGCCUUAUUCUUUCAUGAUGAAUAAACCCAAUUAGAAGGAUACUAAUUACCCAGAAUGACAUCAUUUAAACAGGUAGAGAUAUUCCUAGUACGUUUAGGUUGCCACCUAGGUUAGUCUUAUACUUCUCAGUUGCUAACAAUGAAGUUCUCAGCCACUGGAACAAAUUAUUAAGAGGAACAGUGAGCUUACCAUUUCUUGAAGUCUUCAAACUGAGAGUGAAUGGUAUGCUUUAGCAAACAAUGGUGACACAGCUGGGUGAAAUUAUAUGGUUGUACUAAAGAGCAGGAAACAUGAGAUGUUCUAUGUGGUCCUUUCUAGCCUUAAGAGCUAUAGAUCUGUAAUUUCACAAAUACCAUUACAAAGAAUUCUUUAGAAGUAGUGAUGACCAUAGCAAUAAUCUGAAUCCAUCUCCUGAUUUGGGGUAGAUUAUUCUAAAGAACUUUGAAAAAUUACAGGCUACAGUACUGUUUUUGUGUGGUACUGUCACUACAAGGUUGUGUAACUAGCAUAAAGGGGUCACUUUGUAAUUUUACAGUAUUAGAAAUCCCUUUUUGUGGACUAAAGAGAUCCUUCUUCUCUCCAAAAGAGCUCAUUGUACUUCAGUUCGUGAAUGAGUGUAUAAACAAGUAAGCAUGUGUACUGCUUUCCUAUGGUGAUGCAUUUCUCUCACUGAAAUGUGUUAGAUUCACUUAGUGAAAUAAAAAAAUAUCCGGAGAGGAAAUUAUAAGAUAUUGCUCAUUAACACAGACUAUGUCUAAGCUAAACUAAUUUUCUUCUUGUAGGGUGACCCGAGACACUGCUUAAAAGAGAGCCCUUUGCCAUAGCCAGUCUUCCAGUUGAAGACAGCUAAAUCAUUGUUUUCCAUAUUUCCAACAACUUUUGGCAUUUGUCACUGUCAAAAAUUAAAUACAAUGGAAUAUUUGGAAAUUUGGGAAAGGGAUGUAUAACUGAGUGAACAGUUGGACAUGAAAUGUUUCUUCAGUUUUAGAAAGAUGAAUAAAUUAAUUGACUACAUUUAAAAGGAAGACUGUGCCAUUUCAUGCUGACUCUCAAACACCAUCCUUACAAAUCCAUCUUUAACUUUGUCUGAUUUAAAAUCAACAACAACAAAGAAAACCGCUGCCACCACCACCAAGAAACCCAAAACAACCCCCAAAACUGUAGCCUACGCAAUAAAAGACCAUAAGUGUAUGUAUAGCAUAUCGUAUUAUCAGAAAUCACAAUAGUCACAAGAAGUAUUCAUUCAGAGUGGUUAAACUAUCUUAUUAGUCAUAAGAGGAAAUAACUCUUCUGACAGUAUGACUUUCACCCAGAAGGAUGGGUUUGGCAGUACAGCUGAGACAUCUGGAUUGUCAAAACUAAUGCUAGGAAAAACAUAAUGAUGUAACUUUUCAAACUGUGACAGAGGAAGCUGAUGAUUUAGUGUCCAAAAUGGAUAUGCAUAAUUCCAGAUGCAAAUUCUUAGAUUUUAGAUUGUAGUUAAUGUCUAGUUACCUUUGUUUCUAUCAAUCUGACUGUUGUUCUGGCUCACUACUUCUGUAUAUGCACAUCAUGCCUUAAUAACUAUCGCCACUCUUCCUCAGUUGAAGUGCUGUCUUCAAGACAUGCUUUAGCCAAAUGCUUCUCAGAUACUAGGAGCUGAUCACAGUAUGAGAGCCCAGCAGAAAUCUGAUCAAUUGUCAAAUGCAGGAAUUAGCUUGCUUUAUCAAGCACUCUUUUAUUGAGUUUCCUAAAUAUAUGACUUGUGCAUAUUCAAAUUAAUUCAGCUUUUUCUUGCUACCAUGUUUUGUACUCUGGAGAAAAGAUGUUUGGAAAAGCUGGGUACUAUAAAAGGGGUGUUACCUCUGACUUCUCUUAAGCUUUUCAAAUAUAUUAUCCUUUACAUUUUUUUUUACCUUGUUUAUUGUAACAGGCUUAGCAUCAACGAUGACUAAUUUAUUUGCCAUGCAAAGGCCAUAUUAAAAUACAGGUGCGUAUAUUUAAUACAUUAAUGAAUCUAAAAGAGCAAUGUUAGGUUGACUUGUUUAAAGAAACUCAGUUUUAGGCCCUUAAAGACAAUCUGAGUAGAUCUCAUUUAAAAUGUACACCAUGGAGAAUAAGGAGACAUUUGUACAUUCGAAGAUUUUGAGGUCUGGACUAUGUUUCCAUUCACCAGGGUGGUUCUCAGAAGUUAUUUCUGAGUCACAUAGCAAGGAAACUAGGGUAAGCUUGAUCUGCUAAUUAUGUCCCCUUUGUCGUGUGGAUAUACAGAGAACAGUUUUCUCAUCCCAGAAAGGUUCUGUUGAUCUUGAAAUUUUAGGCCUGGCAUAUGGAGCUCAGUGAAUAUAUGGGUGGCUUAAGAAACAAGUGAACAUAUUUCAUCAUAAUGUUCAUUUUUUUUUCUUUUUUAACCAUUUAAUAUAAACUAAAUUGAAUUUCAACAGAAGAUGCUUCUAACCACAAACCCAAGGCUUUUUUUUUUUUUUUUUUUUUUCCUAAGCGUUGAAAUGGAACAGUUCUAGAAUUUCAAAACCUUUUUUUUUUCCCCCAAACUUUUUUGAGGACAGGAAGUUCUUCUAGGAAUAAUUUUCAUUUUUAUGAAUUUUCAGUUGUGUCCAUCUCUCUUCCUUCCCUUCUGAGAGCCUUAUCUUCAGUCCGAGCUGUUAACGCAGGCUUCCAAUACUUUCCAUAAAUUUAAGGUAUGGUGACCUUAAUCCCAUUUAUUGAUGCAUUGUGGUGAAACAUGGAUUUGAGGCAACUUUCUUUAUCCAUUUGUGCAAUAAGAUGUUGGUGAGAGUGUUCUGACAGUCUUAAUCGGAAUUCUUCUUUCCUGUAUGAUGAAAGACUGAGAGACCUAGGACUGUUCAGCCUGUAGAAGAGAAGACUGAGAGGGGGAUCUUAUCACUGUUAAUAAAUAUCUAAAGAGCUGGAGUCAAAUGGAUGGCUCUUUUCUGUGGCGUACAGUGACAGGACAAGCGGUAACAGGCAAAAACUGGAAUAUAGGGAUUUCCAUACAGACAUAAGGAAAAACUUCUUUACUUUGAGUGUAACAGAGCACUGGAACAAGCUGCCCGGUGUGGUUACAGAGUCUCCUUUCCUGGAGGUAUUCAAAACCUGCCUGGAUGCUUGCUUGUGCAACCUUCUGUAGGGAAUCUGCUUUAGCAGAGGGUUGGAGUAGACGAUAUCCUGAGGUCUCUUCCAACACCAACGUUUCUGUCAUUUCUUUACAAGUACUUUAGAAUGUUAUUGUUCUGUGUUUUGUUUUUCUAUAUUUUACAUACUGUUCCAUUUCAGUUAUUGGUUCACAGUUUAUAAACAAGUAGAUAGGAGUAGGUUAGAAAUUAGUUUUAUUAGCUCAAUGAGCCCCUUUUCUUUACAUCCAUCUGGAAGAAUAAUUCCCUGUCACUGAUUAACUGGUUUUGUUGAUGGGAAUAAAUCUGAUGCCUUCAAGAAAGGAUUAUUAAUUAAGCUUCUUUAAAAUGUCUGGGUGACUUUUCUAACUGGUAAAGGCUGCUGGAUUUUUAUUUUUUAAAUAGCAAUAGUUGUACAUGAUUGCAGUACACUGGAAACAAAUGCUUUUUGUGAUUUGUAUGAAUGGAUAACUUGUUCUGCCGAGAAGAAACUAAUGCAUGAGCUACCUUGCAGCUGGUGACUGAGGAGACCUAAAUAGCUAAACAGAAGCACCAAGGUUUGGGUAAGUUCUGCACAAAUACUGCCAGAUUAUCUAGUGAAAGUCUCUACGUGAGAAAAGAAUUACAAAUCAAGGUAUUCAGAGCUCUCAAAAAUGAGGUUGAAUCAUAAGUUCUGAGUAAGGUUAAAUAAAGAAGUUAACAAAUAAGAGAUUUUUCUCCUUAGUAAAACCAAGAAAGCCUGUUUUAGCAGUUUCUUCCUUUCUCCAUUCCAGCUGAGCAUUGUUGUACAAGGUCUACCAAUUCAGAAAGUAAAAUGUUAGCUUAUAUGUUAGCUUACUCUUGAACAGAGUCCUGAUAGUUACAACAGCUUUAAAGCUCAUAAUCCCAUAGCUUGGUAGUAGGUUUUAUUUAUUUAUUUAUUCAGAAGAAUAGCAUGAUCUACUACAUUUCUACAGACAUUGUACAGCUUUAGUGUGUCAAGACCAUGGCAGAAUUGACAGACCCUCAUGUCCCUGCCUGACCACCCAGGGCUCCCACACUUGGCCUUGGCUCAGGGUCCCACCUCAGCCCAUAUCCUGUCAGCCACUGCCCCAGUGAAGCUGCAGCAGUGUCAGGCUCCAACUCCCCACAGCUCUGUUCAGCCAUGGGACCCACUGAGCCAGGCCAAGUCCUGGAUUCCCUCCAUGGGGAGGUGCUUCGGGCUUUGCCUGCCCCAGUUCUGUGCUUCUGGUUGGGGUGGUGGGACAGGGGACAGCCCCGGCUGGUGAGGGCCAAUCUUAACAGACCUUAGGGAGCCUGAUGUAGAGUUAUGUGGUAAGCCCCUACCACCUAAAUUGUCUGAAAUUGUUGUGUCCAGAUAUAGCAGACAGUCAUAUUUCUAAAAGUAUUUGUGAGGCAGUAUUGGCCUCCAGAAGGAAAGGUCUCCUCAUGGUAGAGAUGCUGUGCUUCAGAAAGAAAGAGCAACACUCCUGAUGGAAACAAAUGUUGGAAUGUGCCAGUUACCUGACCUUCAUCGUGGUAUGUUCCCUGAGUUGAAUGACACUGUGAUGUGUUGUAUCACAAAAAUGCAGGCGAAUCAAAAGGGACAUUUUCAGUCAUCAGCUUUCUACAAUGAAGUGCAGGUUCAUAGCUUUUCUGCCCUGAAGAUAAUUCUUAGUUCAUGCUUAACUGGGAAAUAGCUGAGAUCUCCUAAUAGAGAUGUUGCCUUUAUAUAAUAGCUUAUAUCACAACUCUUUCAUCACAAACAGUGGAGGUUAUAGGAGGAUGCCUGAUUUUACUGGGACGUAAAAUCAUUGAGGUUGGAGAAGACCUCUAUGAUCAUCCAGUCCAACCAUCCACCUACCACCAAUGUUACCCACUAAACCCUGUGCCUAAGUACCACGUCUCUACGUUUCUUGAACACCUCCAGGGACAGUGACUCCACCACUCCUCUGGGCAGCCUGUUCCAGCACAGUACUUGCAGAACACUCCAAUCUGAAGCUUAGAUUGUAUUAAGGAUACACUUAUAUAUAUGUAUAUAUGAAUAGGUAACUCUGUAGCUUUCUUUCGUCUUCUGAAAUGCAAAGUUUUGAAACCAUAGCAAAUAGUCUGAAGUCUAUCUGGAAAGUGAUUAACUCUGUCUCUGGGAUCAAGACGUGUUCGUUGCUAGACAGAGGAGGGGAAGUAGAUACUCUCCGUUUCAGUGUGUCUAUAUAUAUAUACACCACAUAUUACCAGUAGCACUCUUGUAAACAGGAGGAAUUAGCAGCAGCUUCAGCAAAGUAUCAGCUCUUCUCUGUAGUCUCACAGACAGAUGGUGCUUCACAAUGUGUCUUUUUUAAGUGAAAGUUCUGAAGGAAGCUUCUCUUUAUCCUUCCAGCAUAGGAAACCUCUUCUAUUUCCUGUGUCAAGACUUUAUUAGCAGCCUCUCGUAAUGCAAAAUGGCAGCCCACAAAUUGCAGCUAGUGGGAUAUCCAGUUAGCCAGAUGUAUUAGUGCUGUUCUGAAGGUAAUGUCUCCUAUUUGAUUAUACUGACCCAUAAUGCCAGAGGCAGAUAUUGGUGGUACAGCAGUAGAGGCUUCCCACCAACAUUCCAUUGCACUUUGUUGCCAUGUGACAGAGGGCAGCAUAGGGGCAGUCUGGCAUAAUGUUGCCUGACACGGAAGUGCACUAUAAAGCAAAGGGGUGUCACUGAAUUCCUCCUCGUGGAAUAAAUGGCACCUGCUGACAUUCAUGACACUUGCUGAGUAUUUAUGGAGACCAAACAAUGGACGUGAGGAGGUGGUGGUUGGUACAUUUCAGCAGAGGCAGCAGUGACAGUGGAUCACCUUCACUGGUGCAGAUUUUUAUGAGCAUGGCAUUCAGAUUCUUGCUCAUCUUUGGUGUAAACACAUAGCUAAUAGUGGUGACUGUGUUGAAGAGAGUGUUUUGAGCUGAGAAUUUGCUCAAUCAAAUAGUGUUAUUAUGCUCUUUGUAUUGGUUGUAGUUUCUAUGGAAAUAAAUAGGAGGCAUUACUUUCAGAGCAGCCUACGUAUUAUGAGAAUUAAAUGUCUGCAGGUAACAGUGCGCUCUGGGCUUCAUCCCUCACUGUCUGUAUUAGUCAGUUACACUCUUCUGCUAUCUGCUUCAUUUUGUGUUGUUUCAAAAUCUAAUUUUGAUGCAUAGCACCACCGUUCUUUUUGGACUGACGUAGCGCUAGUGCAUCAUAAAGGAUCAAUGGAGAGAUUUUUGGCAAUGCAGUAUGGAACAACAGGGACUUGUGCUACCUUUUACUCUUGGAAUGGAGACAGGAUGGUGACUUACAAUGGGGAGUAGUUUUCUCUUAGGUGCAAACAGUUUGCAGCUGAAUGCAGAGGAGGUUUAGUUUCUGUGCACCUCAUGUGUACUGUGAAAGCGACUAACUGCAUGAUUCAUUUUGCACCUGAGAAGAAAGCACAUCAACUUGUGGUUCUGCUACUAAAAUCAUUUGUUUAAAUGGCAAUUCUUGUUUCUGAAUCCUGAUGAUAAUUAGGUUUUACUAAUUGUAAGUUUGGAACAUCUGUAGAUUCAGGAAUAUUUCAGCAAUUUCUGACAUGAGUUUUAAUGUCUUUCCUCAUGAUUGUAGAAACAUGUACUUCUCUACAAAAAGAAGAAUAAUGCUUCUAGUGGGAGGUGUCCCUGCCUAUGGCAACCUCAUCCAGUCUGUCAAUGCUUUUUUAAAUAGUAUACUGCAUAUAGUAUAAGUACUUGGGCAUGGAUGCUGUCAGUAGAUAAAACGCAGAAUAAAAUUAAAUGACCUUAUGAACCAGGAAGGCAUAUAAUAUUUUCAAUGUUGAUAUAAACAUCAGCUAGGAGAAGGGACAGCAUUGAUAAACAGUGUCAAUAGCUAGGUUUAAUCUUUGUCAAGAUGAAACAGAUGCACUGGAUUCCGAAUAACUUUGCUGUUGGCUGCAUUGACUAAGAAAUGAGCCUCUUGACUAUUUCAGGCAUUGGAACAUAUAUGCACUAAAAGCUGAACAUGAACUCUUUCUGUUUACUGGGUAAAUGUGUACUUCAUGCUUCAAGAAAUACCCAGCCUUUGUCUUUGAUGUUUUUUCUUUCCUGCUUUGCAACUCAACAUCUGUACUUUCACACUUAGCUCAGAAUAAGUUUUCCAACUAUGGUCAUCCAAACAAAGCUACCUAUCGUUGGUUGAUAUUGACCUAACUGCAUUAUACCUUAGCUCCUGCCUUCAGCUUAAAUUCCUGCAGAACCAGCUUAGCAGUUUAACUGAAGGUACUUGUUGCUUGUAACACACCUUUGAAUUUGCAUUACUACCUUGCAAGAAGAGAAAAUUUAUUCUGGAACUAGGAUAUGUUACUUUUAUGUAUAUUUUGGAAAAUUAAAGGGAAAUAAGUAGCUUUCCAUUCCCUUUCCUCCUCAUGCAAAGAAAUGAAGCCAUUUUGGAGAUGGAUAUUUAAGUUUUGUGGCAUGGAUGGGAUUAUUUAGUAAGUAUUUGUUCUUUUUCUUUCAUUACAUGAGGUUGUGCUUUUCUUGGAUCAUGCAGAUUCUUGUAAAAAUGUAACAAGCUACCAUUCUAAAUGUACCAAAUAAGAAACAGAUGGAUCUCUUUAAAGAAUAGUCUAUCAGUAAUAUUAAUGAGAACUCAUGUUUAGGGACCAGGCACCUCCCUUUCCUUAUGCCAGACUUCUUAGCUUGAACAAAGAGGCUCUUCUGGCAAUGACUUGCACAUGGUGAAGGAGAAAAAGGAAGUCUUGGUCCCCUCAAAAUAAAGUACAGCAUUUUUUUUUUGUCAUUUCAAGAUGUAUUUUUAAUGUGCUAUACCUUUGGCUGUCAUGUGCAAAUUUUUUGGGGGUGGACUGAUUUAAAAAGUCUUGAUCCUGCUGUCAGUAUCUCCUUCACACCACAACUGAAUUGAUGUAACUCCUUUUCCUCAGUGGAGUUCCUUUGACCGACAUGUGAACUCUUCCCAGUUAAUACAAAGUAGAGCUAUGUUCAUAUGACUUCUGAAUUAAGAAAAAUCCAGUUUGGUAUAAUGUAUAAUAGCGAGUACUCACUAGAUGCAACUUACAUGUGUUAGAUUCAGGUUUUGUGAUAUCUCCUUGCCUUAGUUGAAGUGGCCUUGUGUUGUUCAGUUCCUUUGCUUGGUGACACUCUUCUCAGUGAAGGUUAGCAGUAUGAAAGAAUGGCUAAUAUGUGUAUGACCAUUCUCUAUUUCUUCAAGAUCACGUGCUAUCUGCUCAUAUCACGUGCUAUCUACUGACAAAACCUGACUAAUCUGCUUGCUGAAAAUGAGCCAUCAGACAGCUUUAGAAAUGGCUGGAAUAUGCCUUUUUGAACUUACUAAGUCUCAUGAAUAUACUUGGCGUGCCAGGCAUUGGGCAAGCAUUGGAGAUAUACUCUGUGAUUCUUGACUGCUCCUAAGGGUGUUAUAGCAGAACAUGUGAUCUGUACAAAAGGUGCUCUUCAGAAAAAUCAAGUAAUAAGGCUGAGAUGUUCCUUUACUGAGCAUAUUUUCUUUUACUUGGGGUAUUUCCAAAAUGGGAUGGGUGGGAUGUACAAUACUUAUUUGUAGAUGGAAUGAUAACUUAAUCUAGAUAAAGCACAUACAUACUGUUAUUUCAAUAAAAAAAAAGUAGGCUUAUGUUUAAAAAGGAAAUAUAAUACGAUAAACAUCCUUUUUGUACUGGUCUAGUUAUUUUUCUAAACUUUUGUCAAGUUUGAGGUAUUUGCCUUCCAAAAUAGAAUUUUUGCAAGAGUCUGCAUGUUUUUUAAUACCUUUUCCAGUAUCUGCUGAGUGAGCCAAAGAUCUGUGGUCAAGUGGGCAUCUCAGUUACAGUUCUUUAUUGAGCAUCUAAUACAUUAGGCUUUAAGUCACACAGACCUUUCUCUUUCAGAGCACAGCUCUUGAGCCUUCAAUUUUCAACUUCAUCUAAGCUCCAAGGAAAACUCCACAAAAUGAAUCCAGUCUUACUUUAGUGAUGUCCCCAACUCUUGGAUGUCCAUGAUGUUUUGGUUUAACCUAAUCAAUGUAUGAAGAGCAUGAAGAAGAAAUUUAUUUAUUUAUUUAUGUUAGUUUUAUUUUGAUUUUAAAGCAACCUGAUAAUGUGUGGAAAGAACUUAUAUUUUCAAAUUUUAACUCUAUUUCUGCUAGAGCAUGAAGUCACGUUAGGAUGUCCUAUUUAGAAUUUUCUGACUUUCUUGUACAUCCAUCCCUUAAUGCAUCUUAGAAUGACUUAGAAUAACUAAAAAUUUGAUAUUAGCAGUCAUAUUCUGUAGAUGUUAUUAGCAUUUCUCUCAAAUUGUAGUAAGAUUACUUGCAGUAAAUGUGCUAGAGAAUACUGUGGAGCUGGAUACUUGUGCCACUAUCCACAGAACUAUGCCAAAUGACUAGUCUGGGGUGCAUCCAUUCAGUGAUCAGCUCUCAUCAAUGCAUCUGGUUUAUUGUAGAUGCCUAGUGUUAAAAUGGCUACAUGCCUUUGCUACAUUUCUGAUGUGUUGCGGGACUUUGUUAGAGAAGGAGAGAUUAGAUUAGAUUAGGGAGCAAGAAAUGCUGUGGAAAUGUCAUAUUGCCUUCAUAAGGAGUUCUGCGUUCAGGGUGAAUCAUACAAUCAUUAAGGGUGGAAAAGACCUCUAAGAUCAUCUAGUCCAACUGUCCACCUACCAACAGUGUGCCCACUAAACCAUGUUCCUUAGUACCACAUCUACGUGUUUCUAGAACACAUCCAGGAAUGGUGACUCCACCACCUCCUUGGCUCCAUUCCAGUUCUUGACUACUCUUUCUGAGUUUUUCCUAAUAUCCAACCUGAACUUCCCGUGGUGCAACUUGAGGCCAUUCUCUCUUGCCCUUUCACUCGUUACCCAGGAGAAAAGGCCAACCCCCACCUCACCACAACCUCCUUUCAGGUAGCUGUAGAGGGUAAUAGGAUCUCCCCCGAGCCUCUUCUCCAGACUAAGCAAUCCCGGCUCCCUCAGCCAUUCCUUGUAAGACUUGUGCUCCAGUCCCCUCAUCAGCUCCAUUGCCCUUCUCUGGACACGCUCCACAGCCUCAGUGUCUUGUAGUGAGUGGCCCAAAACUCAACAUGGUGCUCCAGAUGUGGCCUCACCAGAGCUGAGUACAGGGAGACAAUCACCUCCCUGUUCCUGCUGAUUAUGCUACUUCUGAUAUGAACCAGGAUGCCACUGGCCUUCUUGGCCACCUGAACAGUGCUGGCUCAUGUUCAGCUGAGCACUGACCAACGCACCCAGGUCCUUUUCCUCCACACAGUCGUCCAGCCAAUCUGCCCCAAGCCUGUAGUGCUGCCUGGGGUUCUUGUGGCCAAAGUGCAGGACCCAGCACUGGGUCUUGUUGAACUUCAUCCCUUUUGCCUCAGCCCAGUGAUCCAGCCAGUCCCAAUCCUUAGAUUUAGAAAUCUGCCUUACAUACAUUCAGAAUAGAUUGUCUGUUGUAGUACAUGAAAAUUGCUUCAAAAGCCGAGAUCCUUCUUGGUGCAAUGGUUGAGGUUUCAGAGUAUGUAUAGUUUAUUUUUGCCUUAAAUUAGAACAGAGAGUCAAAAGUUUUGCAGAAAAAAAAGGGGAAAUGUUUCUUUGUGAUACUAUCAGAUCAAAUAUAUGAAAACAAAAGUCCUCUCUUUCCAGAGAAGAAAUGCUGGAUAUUUGAUGAUGACAAUAUUAAUGACCUUUGAAAAUGCAUUAUAAAUCUAGGGCAAUGUCAACAUUGGCAUUAGUGGUGGAUAAGUUUGUUUAAAUAGCAUUUAUAGCAGCUUAAUCAUGAAAUGCAAUCUUUUGGAUGUUUAGAAAUGUCUUAUUACUUUAUUAUGCUUAGAGCUUAUAGUUAUUAUACUUAGAGCUGACCUGUUGCUCUGACCCUCUAGCUGGGACUGAAAAGUUGUUUUACCGUCUAUCAAACUUGAUUGGAAGGAAGGAAGGCUAGCAAAAUGGAGCUUCACUGAUAUUUUGUUUCCAGUGAAGAGGCACCAUUGAUGUUCAGGUAGACAUCCAAAGCAUUAGACCUUCUAUAUGAAAAUGGUGCCAAUGUGCUUCAUUGUCAAAUGUACUCAGAAGAACUCUCUUUUAGUAUCUCUAAACAAUACUAGCACUUUUUUUUUUUUUUUUUGCAAAGAACAAUGCUGGCCACACUUAUCCAUGGGAUAGUCAUUAGUAGUUUGAUUAGCAUUGUUCUGUAAUAUGGUUUUCCAGCCAGAAUCUAACAGCCUUCCCCUCAAUCUCCCUCUGUGAAAAAUAUGCUAAAACUCUGUAAGGAACAAUGAAGUUUUACAGUCAUCUAGUGAGUACACAUUUGUUCUUCAGACAUGUCUGUACAAUAAGGGGAAAUCUGUGAAGUGAUGAGCAUCCUCAUCCCCCACAAAUUACAAGAAAAAAUACCAGAGCUUAAUACAUCUUUAAUAUCUCUAAGAACUUUCCGUUCAGAAUUAUCAAAGUGACCUUGUCCAAAUGCUAUUUUCCAACAAUGAAUAUGUGUGCAUAUUUUAUAUAAAAGAGGGUACGUCAUGGUGAUUUGUAAAACUCCUGUGAUUCUGUAGGUCUGAGAAAUCUCCUGUAUUAGGUGUGAAAUGCAAGGUGUAGGUUCAGCUCCUGAAGAGAAGAGGCAUGGUACUGCAGCGUAGGCUUCGUACUGAGACGCAUCUGACUCUAAGGUUCAGUAGUGCCUUGUGGAAUAAAUAUUCCUCUGCAUUUUGAGAUUGCGAUUAGUAAGUAUGAUUCCGUUUGCAGCCCAAUUUUUGUUUCCAAGGUCAACGUGAGAAGAAAACCAGGAAGAAAACAGAGUAAUGCCUUCUGCAGAUUUAUGGUACAUUAAGAUUGGGAUUUCCCUGCUUUCAGUCUUGGUUACUAGACAUACUAGCCAUCAUCAGAAGAGCAGGCCUGAGAAUUAUAGGAUACUUCCUACUGUUACCAUAACACUUAUGUGUUUCUAUACCUGAUUUCUAUAGCUUCAAACCUAGUCUUCUCCAGGUCUGCAGAAGAUGAAGAAGAUUCUGCCAAUGUUGGAUAAAAGCAUUGGUCAUUAAUUAAUAUAUUCUGAAUAUUUUGUCAAGUUGGGGGCAGAUGAGUGGUGAGGUUAUAAAACAAAUUAAUACAGUAAAGUUCUCUUCUGUGUUUCAAGGAUGGAAUAAUUAUAAUGAAUGCUGAAAGAUGUUCAUGAUAACCCUACAUGGAUAUCUGUACUAAAUUUACUCUGUAUCUUCAGUGGUGAUAAGCACUUUUCUUGUGGCCUUGACAGUAGAGUUGUCACUCAGCAACAAAAGCUAGCAAUUCCUGAUUUCUAACAAUCUACGGACAUGAUUUGGUAUAAUAUCAAGGACUGAGAAGUAUGAAUGGCUGUAUAAGAUAGUUUCACGGGCUAUCUCCAAAGCAGUGAUGUGUGAAGGCCACUGGUGGCCUAACUUGCUUUCUGCAUCUGUUCCAGAGGAACUAAAAGUAUACACACCUCCAUUCUGUCUGUUGUAGACCAGUGAGAUUUUCUUUAACAGCAGCAGAGUGUUUUCCUCCAUCAGUCUGUGGGCCAUUGCAAAGCAGUUCUACUUCUAUAUCAUUUAGUGAUAGCAAAUAGGAUAUAAUGCAUGAUGUCUAGGAUUCAGUAACUUGUUUGUAGUUACAGAAACCUGCAUAGAGGCUGUCCUUGUGCAGAUCACAGAAACUAGUGGAAUACGUCUUUCUCCUUUGUGACCUUGCCUACUGUUUUUCUCUAUAUCUGUGGUGCAGAUGCAACCUGUAGGUUUAUGGUGGAAUGUGCAUUUUGCAGGCACAACCAGUAGUUGUGACACUUCCUACAGCACUGGAUGUUGUCUACUGGAUUUUUAUCAUUUGUUUCAGAAAAUGUCUGAUAUUGACUGAAGAUUGAGAAUGUCCAACCCAAACCAUUCAAUGAUUCUAUGAAUGACAGAUGUCAAAGAUCACCUAUGUGAUCUCAAAAAGCUGCCAUUUUGACAUUCUCUGUCACACCCUUGGGAAACCUCCUGCAAACAUCUCUGGCACCAUUUCCUGCCUUUUAGACUUUAGUCUAGCUAAUGGCUUUGCCAUGGUGGAUGCCUCAGAAUGAUAUGGACACAUUAGAAAGAGUCCAGUGAGGCUCUUCCAAGAUGAUCAAGGGACUGGAGAACUGAGAGAGUUGAGACUGCUCAUCCUGGAGAAGGGGAUGUUAGCAAUGUGUGCAAAUGCCUGAAGAGAAUGCACAGGGGAUUGAGUCAGCUCUUUUCAGUGUUGCUUAGUGUCAGGACAAGAAGCAGCGGACACAAGAUGGAACACAAGAUGUUCUGUCUAAACACUGGGAAACGUUUUUUACUGUAUAACUGUGCCCUGGAACAGGGAGCCCAGAGAGGCUGUGGAGUCUCUUCCUUGUGUAUCCUCAAAGACCAUCUGGACAUGGUCAUGGGCAAGCAGACCUAGGACCAAGUGACCUCUGAACGUACAUGCCAAUCUCAACCAUUCUGUGAUUCUCUGACUUGUUGUUUCAAGAGGUGAAGAGUGCAGUUGUCCUAGCAUAGCUCAGAAAUUAAAGUGCCAACCCGCUACUCGUAUUUCCCCUCACAAGUAUUUUGUGGCCCUCACUAAGGCCACAAGACUUAGGAAGAUGUCCAGGUGAGAAAAAGAAAAAAAAAAUCUAUUUGGACAACUUUGGGAUAAGAAUCAAGACUUGGACUGUUGUCAAGAAACUCACAGUGCCUCAGACUGAGGGCUAAAAGGAGGUACUAGGACCUUGUUGUGAGCCAAAUGAUAGCAUUGAAUGCUCCCUUCUUAGGUACAGUUUUGUAGGUAACCAUGAGGUGGUUAGAAGCGUUGCUACAAUUAGCUAGUUGUCAGUGGCUGAGAGUAGGACACAGAGAAGCAAAGGAGGUAGACAGUGGGCAUUUACCUCUGCACUUUUCCAUUAUAUUCAGGUAGCACUGCUAUGCCAUACAUGACAACUUCUGUACUGUUUUUCUGACCAAGGCUGAGAAGCUAUCUUUUUCAUGAGGCUAUACAGGCUUGUUUCUGCUGAAAUCCUGUGGAGAUGGAAAACUAUGGCUGCCUUCUCUGCAGAUGAGAAAAGCAUGCAACCCCUGAUAACUGAUCUUGCACUGCUUGCUUCAGUGCCAACAUCUUACGUGUCCUGUGUUGGCAGUCACAGUCCAUUAUUUGAAUCAGAAAGCUAGGGUAAUGGGCAUGAGGUGUCUGUUUUUGUGGUUUAGAACCUGUUUUUUGGCUUGUUGUAAUGUUAUGAGUAUUAGUAAUCUUUUGAAUCUGCUAGGCUGAAAAUUUGUAACUAGCUAAGAUCUAAGAGUGAUAGACCAUACACUACUGAGGCUUUGCUGUGGUGAUGCAUUGAGCAGAUAGCUUGCUCAGUGUUGUUAAGAGUGGCUGUGGGGUAGGGGGUGUAGGUGACAACUAUUUAUGGAGCGGCCAGUGAGCAGGUCACUGCCAUGACUAAACACAGAAUCAAAUAAGAGUGAUAUAAACACUCGCAUCCCUGUAAACACGUCCCCUUUCCUGUUUCUGCCCAGAGAGUUUGCUCUGAGUCAUCUAGAUUGUAAUGAAUGCUCUUGUCUGCCUUUGUUUCUGAGCUGCCCUUGAUCUCUCUAGAGAUAUAGAGGUCCUGCAUAUCAGGACCUGUGGCCUUCUCCAUGCCCUGGGCCUCUAUCCUAUUCUUGUCUGAAAAUUUUAUCAGUCUUUGGAUAUCUGCCAUGCCAGCCUGCUUCCUGCAGGUGUGCAUAAAUUGAGAGACUUAUAUAACCGUGUUCCUGGACUAUGCAUGACCAAGCUCAAAAUAGUUUGAGGUAUGAUAUUGCUUUGGCUUGCUGUCUUGCACAUAAUCUUCUGUACUUGUGGUUUGGUCUGAUAAUGGCUCAAGACCUAGGUGGUCUGCAUGGCAUAUACAUCACAUAAAUGAUAUAUAGUGCUGUGCUGCUCUGAUCCCAAUCAUUGAUGAAACGGAAAAGAGGUUUUCCUUCGGCCCUCUCUCUGAGUAGGACUGAUCAGAUCUCAUGGAGCCCACCUCUAGAUGGAGCAUGGCUUACUGCUGGCUGUGUGGUCAGGAGUCAGCCCAGCUAAAAUCCUGCAUACCCUAAGGCUGUGGUCACACAGAUGAAAGCAUAAAGGUGGCCAUAAGUAGGUCAAAGAAUAGAAAAGAACAGAAGACUGCUGUGGAAGCUGUCAUCUGUUUUGCAGGAGAGUUGCACUCUGUAGAUAGUUGAAGGUGGUAGCAGCAGUAUACAGUAACGAUCACAAUUUCUUUCUCCUCUCAGAAUAGUAGGAAAGGGGCCUUGAACUUACAAAACAAGCAGGGCAUCCAGAAACAUCAUUUUCAAAUCUUGCAUGACUGGGGGAGAGGAAGAAGGCCUCCAGCUGGGUGCAAAGGCAAUUCAGAGCACAGUGAAGUACACAGGUGAUGACACACUUUUCCAGAAGGAAUGGAUGUUCUGACUUCAUCAGAGAUUUAGACUGAGUCAAGUCAGAACUUCGGAGCCAGUCUUUGGUCUGUUAUGGUGAUUUUAGUUAGAUUUCCCUCAUUCUGUGAAACAGAAAUUAUAACGUUAUCUCUGUGUGAACAUUUCUCCACACAGAAUUCCUUUCAGCAACGUAUUAGCUUGUCAGACCAGGCAGAUGCAACUGUAAUGGUGUCAAAAAAGGACAGCUUUAUUAGACUCUCUUAAAAUGAGAAGGGAUUUUUUUUUUCAGCCAAUUAGUACUUAAAAAAAAAAAGCUAAAAACGUGUCUUCCUCAAAUACAGCACACCAUGUACUUCUUAUUAAGGACAAUGUGUGUGCUGAGUGUCACAUUUCAAACUUCAGCUGUUUUUGCUGUUGCCAUAUUCAAAACAAGUAUGGUUAGAAUUUCAUUACAAUGGGAAAAGAGUAUGUGUAUAUUUGUUUCCCACUGUUCCAUAGCACAAAAGCUGCUGGGAAUUUGCUCCCAUUUUAGCAAGAUGUAUUGGUGUUUUGUUUUCUUUCUAAUGCAUGAAAAAGUUCAGCUUCAAAAGAGGAGAAACAUGUGAAACCAAAAGGCUAAAACAAAUUAUUUUCUAACUUGAACUGGUAUGGAUGCUAUUACUGUGACAGUUGGCUGAAAUCUUCAGUUAAGUUCCUGAAAGUAUAUAAAAUUAAAGAUAUAAUUAGUGUAUAUAUUUCUGGAGCUUACUUGAUGUAGUAUGUUCCUUCCUUAAGAGGCUUUGUGGCUUCUGUGUUUCAUUGCAGGAAUCUUCUUUUAGUGGCUGGAUAUGGGGUUCUUAGGGCUCUCAUACAUUACUCCAACCACAUUAUGUAGGGUGAAAGGGUUAGUGUACAUGUCUAAUUUGAGAAGAUAAAUGAAGUGAAUGAACCAGUCAUUAUUGUUAAGAUAGGGAAAUGAGGUGAGGGAGACAUAUGCCAAAGAUCAGAUAGAUUAGGGCUGAGAAUUGAGGCCAUGUCUUACAAUUCCCUUAAUGAUAAGAGGAAGGGUUUCUUUUUGGUUAUGGCAAACUAACACAGGUAAUGUGCCAUAUUAAGCCACUGUCUUCUAUGGUCUUUUGGAUUUCCCUUCUCUCCUACCCUGCUUAUUCAGUGCAAAAUAUAUUUUCACCAACAGUGAUUUUGCAGUACUUUUGUACUAUGUGUACAGGAAGCUGAAUGAGUGUCUGGGGACCUUUUAACUGGAUCUAUAAAAAGUCUGUGUCAAUAAAAUCCUGUCAGAUCUAUCUUUCAGUACGGUGAUUACAGAAGAGGAAAAAGAAAGGCAUUGCUCAAUGUGACGGCAAUAUUCCAACAAGUAAUCUUCUCCCAUGUGGUCACGUUUCCUCAGAUAAGAAAAAUUACCACUUUGGUGUCAGUGGGGAUGGGGUCACUGAAUGGGAACGUUCUCUCUGUCUUUUUUUUUUUUUUUUUUUUUUUUUUUUCCACAAUGGACAGUUGUUUUUUGUGUUUUCCUGACUGCAUAAACUAUGUCCAUGGUUACUGGCCAAAGUUUAUUUCUGUAGGAAAUAGGUAACCAUGUUUGUGCAGUGGGGGUAUCAGGACACACAGGAUUUGAAAGGAAGGGUCCAGAGGUCAUCAGCAGAGGGGAUAUGAUGAGGAAAUGCAAUGAGAUAUACCAUGUGGAUUCUGGCAAGUACUUCAUGGGAUGCUUCCUUUCAAGCUCUGGUGAGCAGGAGAGGCGAAUAGAAGCUCUUUGAUAAUGCAGCAGCAGGGUGAAGUCCUUUCAGGGCCAGCUCUUCACCUUAUAUAAAACCGUGCAACUGAUUUAUGCCCACAGAGGAUUUGGCCUGAAGCUCCAAUUUCUUUCUUAGAUAAGUUCUGUUUUCCUUUUUUUGUGCUCAGACUAUCAAAAGAUUGUUAAACGUUUUAUUUCAUCAAGACUUGUUGCUCCUGCCACCCUAUUUGUUCAUUAUAUUCCCCUGAAGUAUCAUUGUAGAGUAAUUUUAUUUUGUAGUUCUCAUAAAAAAUUAUGUCCAGAACUACAAAUGGCUUUGUGAAUGCCAUGAGCAUUUCUGAGUUGUCUUGUCUUGUUAAGUGACCAGUGGAAUGCUGACAGGCUAUAAAAAAAAAUGUAGAAUUAAUUGUGCUAGAUAAUUUAUGCUGUUGCUACACUGUAUCCGUGUUUCCACAUUUGUCUUGCUUCAGGUAUAACUUCUGCUAUGACCUUGUGUUUCAAUACUGCCUAGACUGUCAAUUAGACUGUGACUGCUGCUCACGUAUGUGUGUUCAAAACUGAGUGCUGUGGAGAGUGAGAUGUGUUGCUCAGAGCUGAUUAAAGACCUUGACCAAAAUCAUGUGUGGAAACUCAGGCAGUUGGUUUCUGCUGAGUGCUCUGCAGUCAACAUUCUGCCUCAGUUUAGGACCUAAGAUUUUUGCUGCUUUCCAAAUGACCAUCUACCUGAACUCAGUUUACUCUUGAAUACUGUGCAGAUCUCAGAAGGAGAUAGUGAUGGUACUUUCCCUAGAGAGUUGGAAGUCUAAAAAUAAGUGGAAUGUGAAAGGAACAUUUUUAUUUCACCUUUGAAGGUAACAAUCAAAUGGAUGGAGGUACUAAAUCACCUACAGAGAUCAUGCUAAAAAAUGCAAAAUGGGGAUAUAAGCCAAAAUUUCAGGCCACCAUCUUAACAACAGGAUGCCAACUGGUCUUGUUUCAGUGUUGCUUUGUGCUUCAUAUGUGCAUGAAUAUAUCCACAUUUUGGUUAUACUUAAAUAAUUAUAAAAUAUUCAUGGUAAAAAAGAUGGCUGUGACAAAUCACAUGUGACUGUAUCCCUGGCUUCAUGUUAUCUUACCUUUGAACCAGGUGAUGAGAUGCGGUGCAAGAAGGUUCCUCAUCUGCCUAAGCAUGGAAGCCAUCUGUCUGGUUUAGCAGAGGGCUGGUGAUCUGUGAUGAUUGGCUGAGUUUGUGGUGGAGAAUGUGAAAAAACACUCACCGAGAACAUUUUUAUUGCCAUAUAUGCUGUGAUUUUGUACAACAGGAUAGUAAAAUUUGUAUUUGUUAGAAAACUCAUCAUUACAUUUCUCAUAUCCUCCAAAGCAACUCAAAGGUUUUAGGUCUUUGAAGUCUUUCUAGAGGUAGGUAGAAAAGUGUGAAAUUAUGUAUUACACUUUACUCAUAAUAAAAGAUCAUUUUUGCACGGGUA